rnacentral:rRNA from 1 species
GACGAACGCUGGCGGCGUGCUUAACACAUGCAAGUCGAACGGAAAGGCCUCUUUCGGGGGGUACUCGAGUGGCGAACGGGUGAGUAACACGUGAGUAACCUGCCCUUGACUUUGGGAUAACUUCAGUAAACUGGGGCUAAUACCGGAUAGGAGCUCCUGCUGCAUGGUGGGGGUUGGAAAGUUUCGGCGGUUGGGGGUGGACUCGCGGCUUAUCAGCUUGUUGGUGGGGUAGUGGCUUACCAAGGCUUUGACGGGUAGCCGGCCUGAGAGGGUGACCGGCCACAUUGGGACUGAGAUACGGCCCAGACACCUACGGGAGGCAGCAGGGGGGAAGAUUGCACAAGGGGUGGAAGCCUGAUGCAGAAACGCCGUGGGCGGGAUGACGGCCUUAGGGUUGUAAAACGCAUUCGCUCAUGACGAAGCUUUGUGUGACGGUAGUGGGUAAAGAAGCACCGGCUAACUACGUG